AUCUGCAGAUCUGCUCUCAGACAUUUGAAGGAAGAUCGUAUCAAGAUGUUCGAGUAUUCCCUUCCUUAUUUUUAUAACCCGUUCGUGGAACAUGAACUUGAUCACAGUACUGAGGUCGACAUUGUGUUCCCCUCUGAACCGGCGCCACAUUUUUGUGUGUUUGACUGGAAGUAUGACAAACUUCAGGUGUGUGUGUUUAGCGUGUUUCUGUAACGAG